CGGCUCGACCGGCCGGUGGGUACGGAGGGCUGGAAUCAUGUCGGGGUCACCAGAUGCGGGAAGGAAACAGACGCAGACAGCUCGUUUGCUCAGGAAAGCGCCUCGUCGUCAGGCGUGGCAGCCUUUUUAUUCUUUCAGUUACAGUGUCAUGCAUAACUUACAGCCUUGUUUACUUGUUUCGCAUUGGUGGAGGACUCUUUCUUCCCCUUUUCCCCUCACCCGCCUGCAUGUAGGCAGAGCGUGCUAUACUUAUCUAAUCUAUGAUAGUGCGGAGUCUGCAUUCUGUGGCAAGAUGGGGUAUGCAGGGGGCGGUUUCUGGUGGCUUGCCAGCCAGGACCGAUCCCUACACUGCUUAUAUCCUGU